UACGUAGGGUGCGAGCGUUGUCCGGAAUUAUUGGGCGUAAAGAGCUCGUAGGCGGCUUGUUGCGUCGACUGUGAAAAACCACGACUCAACCGUGGGACUGCAGUCGAUACGGGCAGGCUAGAGUUCGGUAGGGGGAGACUGGAAUUCCUGGUGUAGCGGUGAAAUGCGUAGAGAUCGGGAGGAACACCAGUGGCGAAGGCGGCUACCUGGACCAGCACUGACACUGAGGCACGAAAGCGUGGGGAGCAAACAGG
rnacentral:rRNA from 1 species